CAGAAGGCCAGAGGGAGGAGUGAAUGGACCAUUUUAUUCUAGGAGAUCUAUGUAACAGUACUCCUCUGUGAAUGUGGACUUCAGGAAAAUGUUUUUUUACAAUUUUCUCACAGCUGCGAAAAGCUGAAUGAGCUUGGUCAUGGCAAUAGUACUCACAGCCAGAAAGGAAACCAUGUGCUCAAAUACAACUCCGGUCCAUUUCCCAUUUAGGAAAAUGUCAAUGAAUCUGCUAACUAAAACAAAGGUGUCUAAAAAUAUGUGUUAAACACAUAGAAAGCAUGUGCUACAUGGAAAGAUUGCUGAAGAUCUGGAAUGUAAAGCCCCUAAGCCAAUUGCUUUGCGUUGUAUCUCCAUUUAAUGCAACUGAAGUGAAUAAAAUUUCACCAGUGAUGAAUCUGGCUCAAGCUGUUAAUUUGCAAAACAAUGUGGACAAGGGAGAAAAUAGCUCUUUUCCUGAAG